rnacentral:lncRNA from 1 species
UGGCAAUAAACUUUCUCCAUUUGAGGCUUUUAGGGCCUUUCUGCUCCUCCUAACCCAAAGAUGCCCAGCAAAGACAAAUGAAGCCCACCCAAGACCCCGAGCGCGACCACUCUGUGGAGAGCCACCCGGCCUCCGAGGGCAGGGUGAGACCAGGGAAACUGAGACACCUGAGGGCUGGGGCUGUCCACUGAGGGCCAGCAGAGCCCCACCGGUCCCUAGGGCCAUGGCCUCACAAGGGCUUCUCCCCGAGUCUGAUGGAAAUGUCCCCCUCUGAGACCCACCCAGCUGGAGCCUUCCUUCUGCCCCACGUGCCAGCUGCCCAGGCCUGUCCGGC